rnacentral:rRNA from 1 species
UACGUAGGGUGCGGGCGUUGUCCGGAAUUAUUGGGCGUAAAGGGCUCGUAGGCGGUCUGUUGCGUCGGGAGUGAAAACUCAGGGCUUAACCCUGAGCCUGCUUCCGAUACGGGCAGACUAGAGGUAUGCAGGGGAGAACGGAAUUCCUGGUGUAGCGGUGAAAUGCGCGGAUAUCAGGAGGAACACCGGUGGCGAAGGCGGUUCUCUGGGCAUUACCUGACGCUGAGGAGCGAAAGUGUGGGGAGCGAACAGG